rnacentral:pre_miRNA from 2 species
GAUUUCAAAUGGAAAAGCCAUAAACAGCAAAGUUGUAUAACUUAUCAAGAUCUACAACUUUUAUUUGGUCACUUCUUCAUCCGAUAAAGUAAUAGUACCAAUGUUUACAAAAUUGACAUAUCUAUGUUGAUGUUUAUAAACCAGAUGAGAGAAAUGUGAUUUUUGUGAAUAAUAUAACUAUCACUUUAUCGGAUGAAGAAGUGACCAAAAUAAAAGUUGUAGAUCUUGAUGAGAGGAUCAACUUUGUUGUUGAUCAUAUUUCCAUUUGAAAUC